GACGAACGCUGGCGGCGUGCCUAAUACAUGCAAGUCGAGCGGAGUGGUGGAAGCUUGCUUCCAAGGCUUAGCGGCGAACGGGUGAGUAACACGUGGGCAACCUGCCUGACAGACUGGGAUAACUUGGGGAAACUCAAGCUAAAACCGGUAAGGAUCGCGAACGGCAUGGAACGCGAAGGAAAGUCUGAACGACACUGUCAGAUGGGCCCGCGGCGCAUUAGCUAGUUGGUGGGGUAAUGGCCUACCAAGGCGACGAUGCGUAGCCGACGUGAGAGGGUGACCGGCCACACUGGGACUGAGACACGGCCCAGACUCCUACGGGAGGCAGCAGUAGGGAAUCUUCCACAAUGGGCGAAAGCCUGAUGGAGCAACGCCGCGUGAGUGAUGAAGGUUUUCGGAUCGUAAAGCUCUGUUGUUAGGGAAGAACACCCGGGAGAGGAUCCCGGUUUGACGGUACCUAACGAGAAAGCCCCGGCUAACUACGUGCCAGCCGCCGCCGUAAUAC
rnacentral:rRNA from 1 species